rnacentral:rRNA from 1 species
UACGUAGGGUCCAAGCGUUGUUCGGAUUCACUGGGCGUAAAGGGUGCGUAGGUGGCGAGGUAAGUCGGAUGUGAAAGCUCGGAGCUCAACUCCGAAAUGGCAUUGGAAACUACCUUGCUCGAGGGUUGGAGGGGGGACUGGAAUGCUUGGUGUAGCAGUGAAAUGCGUAGAUAUCAAGCGGAACACCAGUGGCGAAGGCGAGUCCCUGGACAACUCCUGACACUGAGGCACGAAAGCUAGGGGAGCAAACAGG